rnacentral:rRNA from 1 species
AGCGAACGCUGGCGGCAGGCGUAACACAUGCAAGCCGAACGGACCCUUCGGGGUUAGUGGCGGACGGGUGAGUAACACGUGGGGACGUGCCUUUAGGUUCGGAAUAGCCCCUGGAAACGGGUGGUAAUGCCGAAUGUGCCCUUCGGGGGAAAGAUUUAUCGCCUUUAGAGCGGCCCGCGUCUGAUUAGCUAGUUGGUGAGGUAUUGGCUCCCCAAGGCGACGAUCAGUAGCUGGUCUGAGAGGAUGACCAGCCACAUUGGGACUGAGACACGGCCCAAACUCCUACGGGAGGCAGCAGUGGGGAAUCUUGCGCAAUGGGCGAAAGCCUGACGCAGCCAUGCCGCGUGGAUGAUGAAGGUCUUAGGAUUGUAAAAUCCUUUCACCGGUGAAGAUAAUGACUGUAGCCGGAGAAGAAGCCCCGGCUAACUUCGUGCCAGCCGCCGCCGUAA